rnacentral:rRNA from 1 species
UUGAACGCUGGCGGCAUGCCUUACACAUGCAAGUCGAACGGUAGCGGGCCUUCGGGUGCCGACGAGUGGCGAACGGGUGAGUAAUACAUCGGAACGUGCCCGAUCGUGGGGGAUAACGAGGCGAAAGCUUUGCUAAUACCGCAUACGAUCUACGGAUGAAAGCAGGGGACCGCAAGGCCUUGCGCGGACGGAGCGGCCGAUGGCAGAUUAGGUAGUUGGUGGGAUAAAAGCUUACCAAGCCGACGAUCUGUAGCUGGUCUGAGAGGAUGAUCAGCCACACUGGGACUGAGACACGGCCCAGACUCCUACGGGAGGCAGUAGUGGGGAAUUUUGGACAAUGGGCGCAAGCCUGAUCCAGCCAUGCCGCGUGCAGGAUGAAGGCCUUCGGGUUGUAAACUGCUUUUGUACGGAACGAAAAGCCUUCUUUUAAUACAGGAGGGUCAUGACGGUACCGUAAGAAUAAGCACCGGCUAACUACGUG